AUAGUUGAAGAAAAUCAGGUUUGAAUUUGCCAUAUGUAUAUCUUUAUCAGGAUGCAGUUGGAAGUAUUUUUCAUUAUACCGUGUCGGGCAGUCGUCUCUCAGAAGUUUGUUUACGCGAAUUGAUGAAAAUUUUGUGAUCGAGAAACCUGUGCUUUUGUCUUUAGUAGAUUUCGCGGACAUUUUGUCACGAGAGAUGAAUAUUAUUGUGCUAAAUUAAAGAGGAUUUUCGAAGAAAUAUAAUUUAUAGCUGAUUGUAUUACAUUGGAGCAGAAGUUUGGAAUUCUCACUGAUCAUUUGCUAUUGGGAUUUUCAUUUUCAGAGAGUAUAAGAAAAAUAAGAAGACGUCUUAGAAAUGAACAGAUACACAACACUGCCCCAAAUUUUUUGAAAAAGAGGGAGGUAAGGAAGGAACUGACAAGAAUUUAUAGCUGAUUGUAUUACAUUGGAGCAGAAGUCUGGAAUUCUCACUGAUCAUUUGCUAUUGGGAUUUUCUUUUUGAGAGAGUAUAAGAAAAAUAAAAAGACGUCUUCGAAAUGAAGAGAUACACAAAAGGACCCCAAAAUUUUUGGAAAAAAGGGAGGUAAGGAAGGAACUGACAAGAGCCUUGUUCCUGUUUGUUUUAGGCCUCACCUCCUGUAUAUAUCCUCCCAUUAGUUUCGGUCACUCUAGAAUCACCAAAAGAGCAGUUUCACAGUUUUAAAACUUAUGAAUGGAAAUUGAAAAUCAAUACCAGAAUAUUUUUCAACCCAAAUCUUCGAAUCUAUUAGCUUUGCAUCCUUCGAAGUUCAACUGUUGGAGUUCCAUGUUGAGAUGAAAUAAAAAUGACGGAGACAUUCAAGAAGAACGUUCUUCUUUGGUUACUCCAAAUAAUUGAGUGGAUGUUGUAUAGCAGUGUCAUCCAGAAAGUAUUGUGUCUCUUCAAAUAUCACAAGUUUUUUGUGUCAAAAUGAAUAAUGAUUGAAAAAUUUACUCUAUUCAUCCAAUCUUGAAGACAAUCACACAAACAUCAGUUGAAAUUUUAGCAAAAAAGAAUGAGGAGACAACAUACC